UACGGAGGGGGCUAGCGUUGUUCGGAAUUACUGGGCGUAAAGCGCACGUAGGCGGCUUUGUAAGUUAGAGGUGAAAGCCCGGGGCUCAACUCCGGAAUUGCCUUUAAGACUGCAUCGCUAGGAUUGUGGAGAGGUAAGUGGAAUUCCGAGUGUAGAGGUGAAAUUCGUAGAUAUUCGGAAGAACACCAGUGGCGAAGGCGACUUACUGGACACAUAUUGACGCUGAGGUGCGAAAGCGUGGGGAGCAAACAGG
rnacentral:rRNA from 1 species